rnacentral:rRNA from 1 species
UACGUAGGGGGCAAGCGUUGUCCGGAAUCAUUGGGCGUAAAGCGCGUGUAGGCGGCUCGAUAAGUCUGCUGUGAAAGUUCAGGGCUCAACCGUGAAAUGCCGGUGGAAACUGUCGAGCUAGAGUACGGAAGAGGUGAGUGGAAUUCCUGGUGUAGCGGUGAAAUGCGCAGAUAUCAGGAGGAACACCAAUGGCGAAGGCAGCUCACUGGGACGUUACUGACGCUGAGACGCGAAAGCGUGGGGAGCAAACAGG